UACGUAGGGUGCAAGCGUUAAUCGGAAUUACUGGGCGUAAAGGGCGUGUAGGCGGCCUGCUAAGUCGAACGUGAAAUCCCCGAGCUCAACUCGGGAACUGCGUCCGAUACUGGCAGGCUUGAAUCCGGGAGAGGGAUGCGGAAUUCCAGGUGUAGCGGUGAAAUGCGUAGAUAUCUGGAGGAACACCGGUGGCGAAGGCGGCAUCCUGGACCGGCAUUGACGCUGAGGCGCGCAAGCCAGGGGAGCAAACGGG
rnacentral:rRNA from 1 species